rnacentral:rRNA from 1 species
CGAGCGGAUGAGAAGAGCUUGCUCUUCGUUCAGCGGCGGACGGGUGAGUAAUGCCUAGGAAUCUGCCUGGACAACGUUUCGAAAGAACGCUAAUACCGCAUACGUCGACGAUCCGUAACUGGUCUGAGAGGAUGAUCAGUCACACUGGAACUGAACACGGUCCAGACUCCUACGGGAGGCAGCAGUGGGAAUAUUGGACAAUGGGCGAAUGAUCCAGCCAUGCGCGUGUGUGAAGAAGGUCUUCGGUUGUAAAGCACUUUAGGGAGGAAGGGCAGUAAGUUAAUACCUGCUGUUUUGACGUUAGAUUACUGGGCGUAAAGCGCGCGUAGUGGUUCGUUAAGUUGGAUGUGAAAUCCCCGGGCUCAACCUGGGAACUGCAUCCAAACUGGCGAGCUAGAGUAGGGCAGAGGGUGGUGGAAUUUCCUGUGUAGCGGUGAAAUGCGUAGAUAUAGGAAGGAACACCAGUGGCGAAGGCGACCACCUGGGCUCUACUGACACUGAGGUGCGAAAGCGUGGGGAGCAAACAGGAUUAGAUAUUCGGGCCUUAA